GCAAACUUGGUCAUUUAGAGGAAGUAAAAGUCGUAACAAGGUCUCCGUAGGUGAACCUGCGGAGGGAUCAUUAUCGAAUGGCCUCUGUGCCUUCACAUGCCCAUCAAACCUGUGGACCGUUCAGAGAGAACGUGCUUCGGCGAGCCCCUGGGUUCACCCCUGAGGGCCGCCGCCUCCAUGCAGAUAACAUUGUCUUGUCUGAUUUUUUGAAACCAUAAUAGUUUUUAAAACUUUCAACAAAGGAUCUCUUGGCUCUCGCAUCGAUGAAGAACGCAGC
rnacentral:misc_RNA from 1 species